UCCGUACUUCCUCAUUCUCCUUUUUUUUAAGUUAUCAGUGCCGUACCCUUGAACCGUGCGCCACCUCCGGCUUCCUCGGCAGUCGACCGUGCUACGCCGCCCGUUCCUUGACUCAUCGACCGCGAGCCACCACUGCCCACCGACGUCCUCAACCGCCAGUCCUAGUUCUUUCCUGCCACCGUUGACCUGGAUGGAUGGCCAUUGAAGUACUUUAGGUUUAAUCCAUUGAGUAAUGCAACACUUUAUGGUACUUCUUCUGAUGGACCAAUCAGCUGCACUAACUUAGAGACUGGAAUUUCACAAACACCGGCAAACCUUAAUCCCAAUGGGUGGCAGGUGAAGGAUCCAAACAUUACUACAAUCAGACCCUGUAAAUAAUCUACAUCUACGGGAUGAUAUUUUGGCUUAUGGUAGUUCCAGAUUUAUCUUCAUCUAGAGGCGGCGGGAAACAAUCCACUAAAAUCAUCAAGGGGAUGAAAAAAAGGAUAGUUUUGUGUGAGAAAGGUAUGUACUUGGUACCAAUGGGAGAUAAUUAUAUUCCUAGACAAUACAUACUUGGUGCAACUGAUGGUGAUAUAGAUUUGAUGUAGUAUUUUUAUAUUUUGUAAUGUCGUCAACUGAUGGUGAUAUAGAUUUGAUGUAGCAUUUUUACAUUUUGUAAUAUUAUUUUGCAAUUUUU